ensembl:lncRNA
GAUGGAGAGAUGUUUCAGCGACUAAGGUAGUUACUGUGCAAGCCCUAGGACCUGGGUCCACAGCACCCAAAAACAAUAGUGAAGAGAGCUUGGUGGCUUGCAGGUGCACAGUCAGCACCCGGGAGGCAAAGACAGGCAGCAACCUGGAGCUCACUGGUCAGUCAUGGUAAUUAGAGACUCCUAGAUCCCUUUGGGAGGCACUGUCUCAAAAUAACUGAGAAGAUGAAGAGAGGACAUCUGGGCAAAGACAUCUGAGGUCGACCUCUGGCCUUUGCAAACAUGAGCAUAAGAUCUGUGACAAAGAUGAAAUUAUCCUCCUUUAACCAACAGGAAGUCAUGAAGAGACACAAAAACAAACACAGCAACAACAACAACAACAAAAACCAGACUGAUCACAUAAAGGGAAAAAAUUUAGAGUGCGGAUGGGGACUCAGCUUUUUUGUAUCACCUUUAUUUUGGGGACUCUUCCUUCAGUCUCUCAAGGUCUUGGCAUCUAGUAUUGUGUCCACCUCAUUUCAAGCCACCAGCCCACCAGCCUCUAUGUGUGGCAAGAACUAAAAUUGUCCUCUAAUUCCUAGGCACCAAAGUAACUAACAGUAGUGACCAGGGGGGACAGGAGAGAUUCCUCUAUUUUGCCUUUAGUAGUACAGGUCUUGUGCAGGCAACCCACACAGGUACAGACAGAAACUAAUUAUCAUAGUCUCCAUAUUUGUUAAGUUUGAGCUAGUGAGUUGUGGAGAAUGUGUUUCAUCAUCUUGCUUUGAGAAAUAAACAUUCAUAAUGAUGUAGAGA